rnacentral:tRNA from 1 species
CCAACCAUAGCUCAGUUGGUAGAGCGGAGGACUGUAGAGUAGUGCAAUCGUUGUAGAAAUCCUUAGGUCGCUGGUUCGAAUCCGGCUGGUUGGA